GAUGAACGCUGGCGGCGUGCCUAAUACAUGCAAGUCGAGCGAACAGACGAGGAGCUUGCUCCUCUGACGUUAGCGGCGGACGGGUGAGUAACACGUGGAUAACCUACCUCUAAGACUGGGAUAACUUCGGGAAACCGGAGCUAAUACCGGAUAAUAUAUUGAACCGCAUGGUUCAAUAGUGAAAGACGGUUUUGCUGUCACUUAUAGAUGGAUCCGCGCCGCAUUAGCUAGUUGGUAAGGUAACGGCUUACCAAGGCAACGAUGCGUAGCCGACCUGAGAGGGGGUACGGCCACACUGGAACUGAGAAACGGUCCAGACUCCUACGGGAGGCAGCAGGAGGGAAUUUGCCGCAAGGGGCGAAAGCCUGACGGAGCAAAGCCGCGGGAGUGAUGAAGGUCUUCGGAUCGUAAAACUCUUUUAUGAGGGAAGAACAAAUGUGUAAGUAACUAUGCACGUCUGGACGGUACCAAAGCAGAAAGCCACGGCAAACUACUG
rnacentral:rRNA from 1 species